AACGUAGGUUCCGAGCGUUAUCCGGAUUUACUGGGCGUAAAGCGCGUUCAGGCGGUUUGGCAAGUCGGGCAUGAAAUCUCCGGGCUUAACCCGGAAAGGUCAGCCGAUACUGCGGGGCUAGAGUGCAGAAGGGGCAACUGGAAUUCUCGGUGUAGCGGUGAAAUGCGUAGAUAUCUGGAGGAACACCGGUGGCGAAGGCGGCAUCCUGGACCGGCAUUGACGCUGAGGAGCGAAAGCCAGGGGAGCAAACGGG
rnacentral:rRNA from 1 species